AUCAGCAUCUCGGAAACCCAGUUCUGUUUCUUAAAUUUUUUUUAUUUUUAUUGUUUUAUCUGUUUAAAAAAAAAACCAAUCGCGGGCCGCCAUGUGUCGUAGGGCCCGCAAAACAGUGUAAAAACCUCACGUGUCGACAGGAAGCCACGUUUCUUCCCAUUUUGUAGGACCCAUCUCACAUUUCCCCCCUAAAAACCCUCCUAAAUACUUUCGAUAAAGAUGCUCUAACAAAAAUUUAGUAGUAUCUUAUAUAUAUAAAGUAGACUUGUGCUCUUCCCAUAGCCUUCCACGUCACCAAAGAGGAUGGGGCAUUUUUGAACAAGUCAGCGCUCAACCAAAAGCUCUUUUUUAACGUUUGUUUCUUCCUCAUCUUUGGGCUUUGUUUAAUAGCGGGCCAUGAAGACCUAAACUUUCAUCCUUUCUCAUCUCCGCUUCAUCUUCCUGGCACUGUUACGGAAAGCUAACCCUACUUCAUACCACCUCCAAAUCACCGGAACUUUAACGCCUCGUAUUGCCGUUCAGUUCAUGUAAUUAUGACUGUUAUUAACAACAUAGCACGUCUCAUUCAGUUUAAUCCUUCUUCCUCGAUGGUUCCUCAAUCUCUCCACCACAACAGCCUCACCUUUUCCUUCAUUCUCUCCCUCUCGCCAUAUUCUUCCGUCAACCAUCUGACGUAACACCAAAGCAGGACCUGUAACACCAGCAACCAAAGACUCUUGAUUUUACGGCCGCUUCAUCUUCUAUACAGCUGCGGCCAGGUCGUUCUGCUAAAUAAAAAAUUGGGGAAAGAUGGUCGUGUUUGUACCAAAACUGUGAAGAAAUCUUCAUGCAAGAACGAUGGGAACCGUACCAAAGAUGGGAUCCAGAUUGUGCUGAUGGGAACGAUAGUGGGAACGAAAAUCAGUGUGAAUGAACUUUCUCAAGGUAUUGAGUCAGAGAGAGCCUUAUUGCUUAGAAAAGGCGAGAAUCAUUUUGGGCCGUAACAGUAGCUAUUUCAAAACACUAAACACUGAUGGGAUUAGUUGGAAAAAUUAGUUUCAGAUUAGCAUUGUUGAUUAUGCAUACAUCACGCACUUUA